UACGGGGGGGGCAAGCGUUGUUCGGAAUUACUGGGCGUAAAGGGCUCGUAGGUGGCCAACUAAGUCAGACGUGAAAUCCCUCAGCUUAACUGGGGAACUGCGUCUGAUACUGGAUGGCCUGAGUUUGGGAGAGGGAUGCGGAAUUCCAGGUGUAGCGGUGAAAUGCGUAGAUAUCAGGAGGAACACCUAUUGCGAAGGCAGCUCGCUGGGACGUAACUGACGCUGAGACGCGAAAGCGUGGGGGAGCAAACAGG
rnacentral:rRNA from 1 species